rnacentral:rRNA from 1 species
AGUGAACGCUGGCGGUAGGCCUAACACAUGCAAGUCGAACGGCAGCACAGUAAGAGCUUGCUCUUACGGGUGGCGAGUGGCGGACGGGUGAGGAAUACAUCGGAAUCUACUUUUUCGUGGGGGAUAACGUAGGGAAACUUACGCUAAUACCGCAUACGACCUACGGGUGAAAGCAGGGGAUCUUCGGACCUUGCGCGAUUGAAUGAGCCGAUGUCGGAUUAGCUAGUUGGCGGGGUAAAGGCCCCCCAAGGCGACGAUCCGUAGCUGGUCUGAGAGGAUGAUCAGCCACACUGGAACUGAGACACGGUCCAGACUCCUACGGGAGGCAGCAGUGGGGAAUAUUGGACAAUGGGCGCAAGCCUGAUCCAGCCAUACCGCGUGGGUGAAGAAGGCCUUCGGGUUGUAAAGCCCUUUUGUUGGGAAAGAAAAGCAGCAGGUUAAUACCCCGCUGUUCUGACGGUACCCAAAGAAUAAGCACCGGCUAACUUCG